AAAGCGACGGUGCAACCCUCAGAGCUGAGCCGGCAAGCGGAAUGAGAGUAGUUACCAGUUGUGUGUGCAGUUGUUGCGGUGAGUUUUACAGGUAAAUGGAUCUACCGUGGAUAUCAUGGAGCCACGGCAUCGGCCACUCUGGCGUGCACAGGACUAGAUGGAAGGUCUUUAAUAAUGUUGCUCGAGUGUUCCUGUGUGAGUCUUCAUACGGCCGUAAUAGUACGUGUGUGAUCUGAACUGCGCCACCAGCCUCAGCUGCGCCACCGCCAGGAGACAAGUUUUACAGUUCGGCACGGGCGAUGGCAGUCCUGCUUGCAUGGCCGAGCAGUGUUAAGCUUCUGUUUUAUAAUGAUCAGUAUUACAAUGGACGUCGGAAGAAGUGCAGCACUCACUACCAGCCACGAGGUCAUCAUAAGGGGAUGCUUGAAUGCGUCAGCUAGACAUCCGGGUAGUCAGAUUGUACCAGUUGUCGAGUUCACCAGCAUGGUCACUUGACGCUACGAAGUGGAAGGAGUCCAAUGUAGUCCACAUAAGAAAAAAACCUUUGACAGACACAUGCACGGCGCCGCAGUUCCUUCCAGGCUGCGUACAUGGUCUGUAUUCUGUAUUAUGUUGUAUAUUGAUAAAAAAAAAAAAAUUGAGAACUUCACUACCCUUCGGGAUAUUCAAGAGGCCUCAUCAUACGUGCUGCAACUCAGCUCGUGUUUAGUGUGCCCUCAAUUUUCUGAUCUGCUGACCUUUCCUUGUAUAGUCUGGUAAGUCCAGAUCAGGGGACUUGGGACUGAGGGAAAACGCAAAUCACAGAGGUGAAUGCACGGGGUUAAUAUAUUGGCCACGCGUGCACAUGGAAGGGAUCUGUACUAGGUGGUGAAAAAAAGGUGAGGAAAAUGUGUGAUGGCAAUUAGAAAUGACGAAGGCCACUGAGACUAAGCUCUGGUACGCAUUUGAAUAGAUUGAUUUUACGUAAAUUAUGUUGUUUAAAUGAAAAAUAAAUGUACAAGUAUAUAUUAUUUUUAGACCGAUCUACAGAAAAAUGGUGAAAUUAUUCUUUAUGGUAUAGUUUGAAGAGUUGAUGCUUUUUAUAAUGGCCUUCAACAGUCAGAAAUAAUAUCACAGUAUGAGAAUAAAAAGCAAACUAUUG